CGGCCUACCAUGCAGUCGAACGGAUCCUUCGGGAUUAGUGGCAGACGGGUGAGUAACGCGUGGGAAGCUACCUUGUGGUAGGGAACAACAGUUGGAAACGACUGCUAAUACCCUAUGAGCCCUAUGGGGGAAAGAUUUAUCGCCAUGAGAUGUGCCCGCGUUAGAUUAGCUAGUUGGUAAGGUAAUGGCUUACCAAGGCGACGAUCUAUAGCUGGUCUGAGAGGAUGAUCAGCCACACUGGGACUGAGACACGGCCCAGACUCCUACGGGAGGCAGCAGUGGGGAAUAUUGGACAAUGGGGGCAACCCUGAUCCAGCCAUGCCGCGUGAGUGAUGACGGCCUUAGGGUUGUAAAGCUCUUUCAGCAGUGAAGAUAAUGACAUUAACUGCAGAAGAAGCCCCGGCUAACUUCGUGCCAGCAGCCGCGGUAAUACGAAGGGGGCUAGCGUUGUUCGGAAUCACUGGGCGUAAAGCGUACGUAGGCGGACUGAUCAGUCNNGGGUGAAAUCCCGGGGCUCAACCCCGGAACUGCCUUUGAUACUGUCAGUCUUGA
rnacentral:rRNA from 1 species